rnacentral:rRNA from 1 species
UACAGAGGGUCCAAGCGUUGAUCGGAAUCACUGGGCUUAAAGGAUGCGUAGGCGGCGCUGCAAGUGUCUUGUGAAAUCCCUCGGCUCAACCGGGGAAUUGCUCGGCAGACUGCAGCGCUUGAGCUCGACAGAGGUCGUCGGAACGAUAGGUGGAGCGGUGAAAUGCGUAGAUAUCUAUCGGAACGCCGAAGGUGAAGACAGGCGACUGGGUCGACGCUGACGCUGAGGCACGAAAGCGUGGGUAGCAAACGGG